GUGCUCGCUUUAGAAGCACAUACAAUAAAAUUGGAACGAUACUGAGAAUAGCAUUGCCACUGUGCAGGGAUGACAAACAAUAUUGUGGAACGUUCCAUAAAUAA
rnacentral:snRNA from 1 species